rnacentral:ncRNA from 1 species
UUCCACGGGCCCCGGCCACUCCACUUUAUGGAUGGGGAACCGUGAAAAAAGGAGGAAAAGUUCAAGCCCAGGCUCGGGCUGCGGCAGCGUGGAGACCUGCCGUAAUGCGGGCGGCGCAAGCCCCCGCGAGGGCACAGCAGGCGGAGGCCCUGUGUCCGGAGUCGGAAAACAUGGCA